rnacentral:rRNA from 1 species
GUCCACGCCGUAAACGAUGGGCACUAGGUGUGGGGGGUGUCGACUCCCUCCGUGCAGAAGCUAACGCAUUAAGUGCCCCGCCUGGGGAGUACGGCCGCAAGGCUAAAACUCAAAGGAAUUGACGGGGGCCCGCACAAGCAGCGGAGCAUGUGGUUUAAUUCGACGCAACGCGAAGAACCUUACCUGGGCUUGACAUGUUACUGACCUCCCUGGAAACAGGGCUUCCCUUCGGGGCAGGAUCACAGGUGGUGCAUGGCUGUCGU